rnacentral:rRNA from 2 species
UGAGGAAUAUUGGUCAAUGGGCGGAAGCCUGAACCAGCCAUCCCGCGUGCAGGAAGACGGCCCUAUGGGUUGUAAACUGCUUUUCCAGGGGGAGAAACUUUCCGAUGAAUCGGGAUUUGACGGUACCCUGGGAAUAAGCAUCGGCUAACUCCGUGCCAGCAGCCGCGGUAAUACGGAGGAUGCGAGCGUUAUCCGGAUUUAUUGGGUUUAAAGGGUGCGUAGGCGGAUCGAUAAGUCAGUGGUGAAAACCUGCAGCUUAACUGUAGACUUGCCGUUGAUACUGUUGGUCUUGAGUAUGGUCAAGGUAGGCGGAAUGUGUAAUGUAGCGGUGAAAUGCUUAGAUAUUACACAGAACACCGAUUGCGAAGGCAGCUUACUGGACCAUCACUGACGCUGAUGCACGAAAGCGUGGGGAUCGAACAGG